UCGGGCUGCAAGAGUUCGUCGAGGUUGACGAGAAGACCCAGCGUAAGAAACAUCACGAUCUGUACCAGCCAGGUGAAGCCGUCGAAGAAGAUCGUCAGCGAACGUUUCUGCGUCAACUGGUUAUUACCCAACACCAAUCCUGCCAGGUAAACAGCCAAGUAUCCGUUCCCGCCAAUCAGGUCGGUAAACGAGAAGGUAAAGAAAACGAAAGCGAGCAAAAGCACCGGAUAGAGCGAAUGAUUGCUCAAAUUGAUCCGAUUGAUUGUCCAUACACCGAUCCGGCCGAUAGCGUAGCCCAUCAGACCGCCGAGCACCAUCUGAAUGACGAACUUUACGAUACUCAUCGGUACGCUCACGGCUUCUGCGCCGCCGGACAAUACGCCGAUCAGCACAAUGGUCAGCACGUACGCCAUCGGGUCGUUCGAACCGCUCUCCAGCUCCAGCAGAGGGCGCAGGUUCUCGUUCAACCCCUGUUUCUUGCUUCGCAGGAUGGAGAAAACCGAAGCCGAAUCCGUCGAAGACAUCGUCGCGGCCAGCAGCAGCGCCGCAGGAAACGAUACGGCCAGCCCGACCCAUGGGGCAAUGAGCGUGACGAAACCCGCUACGAUCACCGCCGUCAUGACGACUCCGGCGGUCGCCAAGGAAUCACGUAUCAUAGACCCGAAACCGGGUGAUCUAUCCAUGUCCAGGAUGAAGCUGCCGUAAGAGGUAGUGGAGGUCCGAACACACAUCCGUUGAAAAGGGUGGUGAUGAGGUGUGGAUAGGGGAGAAAUUCCAAUCGAACCCGGAGAUAGCUGGUUCUCCUCGAAAUAGCUUUAGGGCUAGCCUCAUGCAAGUCUUACGGAGGUAGAGCACUGAAUUCCUAAGGGGGCGUCAAAGCUUACCAAGGGAUAUCAAACUCCGAAUGCCGUGUAGAUGGUGCAUGGGAGUCAGACUAUCCGAGAUAAGUUGGGUAGUCAAAAGGGAAAGAGCCCAGACCUACAGCUAAGGUCCCAAAAUGUGUGUUAAGUGGAAAAGGAUGUGGGAUUUCGAAGACAACUAGGAUGUUGGCUUAGAAGCAGCCAUCCAUUAAAAGAGUGCGUAAUAGCUCACUAGUCGAGAGGUCCUGCGCCGAAAAUGUCCGGGGCUGAAACACACUACCGAAGCUUGGGAAUUGACGAAUGUUAAUUGGUAGAGGAGCAUUCUUAACGGGGCGAAGCUGUACCGGAAGGAGCAGUGGACUGUUAAGAAGAGAGAAUGCCGGAAUGAGUAGCGAGAGGAAGGUGAGAAUCCUUCCGGCCGAAUAUCUAAGGUUUCCAGAGUAAAGCUGAUCUGCUCUGGGUAAGUCGGGGCCUAAGGCGAGGUCGAAAGACGUAGUCGAUGGAUAACAGGUAAAGAUUCCUGUACUAUAUCAUAACAGAACUGUGGGGACGCAGACAGAGAGCAUAAGCCGGGAAUGGAAAAACCGGUACAAGCGAGGUAGGAGUGCAUCAGGCAAAUCCGGUGCACAAUCUGAAGACGUGAUGUGGGGCGUAAAGCCGGAAGUAUGUGAGCUGGCUGCCAAGAAAAGCCGCUAUUGUUUAUGAUAUACCCGUACCGUAAACCGACACAGGUGGAUGAGGAGAGAAUCCUAAGGCCGACGGGAGAAGCAUUGUUAAGGAACUCGGCAAAAUGACUCCGUAACUUCGGGAGAAGGAGUGCCAUGUAAAAGUGGCCGCAGAGAAUUGGCCCAAGCAACUGUUUAGCAAAAACACAGGUCUAUGCAAAACCGAAAGGUGAGGUAUAUGGGCUGACGCCUGCCCGGUGCUGGAAGGUUAAGAGGAGAUGUUAGAGCAAUCGAAGCAUUGAAUUUAAGCCCCAGUAAACGGCGGCCGUAACUAUAACGGUCCUAAGGUAGCGAAAUUCCUUGUCGGGUAAGUUC
rnacentral:rRNA from 1 species